rnacentral:rRNA from 1 species
UACGUAGGGUGCAAGCGUUGUCCGGAAUUAUUGGGCGUAAAGAGCUCGUAGGCGGCGUGUCGCGUCUGCCGUGAAAGCCCAUGGCUUAACUGUGGGUCUGCGGUGGAUACGGGCAGGCUGGAGGCUGGUAGGGGCAAGCGGAAUUCCUGGUGUAGCGGUGAAAUGCGCAGAUAUCAGGAGGAACACCGGUGGCGAAGGCGGCUUGCUGGGCCAGUUCUGACGCUGAGGAGCGAAAGCGUGGGGAGCGAACAGG